AGUGGCGAACGGGUGAGUAACACGUGAGUAACCUGCCCUUGACUCUGGGAUAAGCCUGGGAAACUGGGUCUAAUACCGGAUAUGACCUUUCACCGCAUGGUGGGGGGUGGAAAGCUUUUGUGGUUUUGGAUGGACUCGCGGCCUAUCAGCUUGUUGGUGGGGUAAUGGCCUACCAAGGCGAUGACGGGUAGCCGGCCUGAGAGGGUGACCGGCCACACUGGGACUGAGACACGGCCCAGACUCCUACGGGAGGCAGCAGUGGGGAAUAUUGCACAAUGGGCGGAAGCCUGAUGCAGCGACGCCGCGUGAGGGAUGACGGCCUUCGGGUUGUAAACCUCUUUCAGUAGGGAAGAAGCCGUGAGGUGACGGUACCUGCAGAAGAAGCGCCGGCUAACUACGUGCCAGCAGCCGCGGUAAUACGUAGGGCGCAAGCGUUAUCCGGAAUUAUUGGGCGUAAAGAGCUCGUAGGCGGUUUGUCGCGUCUGCUGUGAAAGACCGGGGCUCAACUCCGGUUCUGCAGUGGGUACGGGCAGACUAGAGUGAUGUAAGGGAGACUGGAAUUCCUGGUGUACGGUGAAAUGCGCAUAUAUCAUGAGGAACACCGAUGGCGAAAGCAAGUCUCUGGGCAUUAUCUGACGCUGAGGAGCGAGAGCGUGGGGAGCGAACAUGAUUAGAUACCCUGGUCGUCCAUGCCGUAAACGUUGGGGACUAUGUGUGGGGGGACAUUCCACGUUUUCCGCGCUGUUCUAACGCAUUAAGUGGCCCCUCCUGGGGAGUACGGCGCUACGCGUAAACUCAAAGGAGUGACGGCGGCGCGCACCAGCUGCGCAGCAUGAUGUAGUAACUUCGAUGCUAUCGCGAGACCUACAAGCGUCGACAUGAUCUGUAACGCUGCAGAAUGUAGAUGUCGCUUCGCGGCUGAGCACAGCUAGUGCAUGAUGAUCGUCAGCU
rnacentral:rRNA from 1 species